CUACGAGUUGAGGGGUGCUGAGGAACGGAGGGCACAUUACUGACUCGUGAAGGUGGACGAAGUCUAGAGGAAGUUUUAGAAAUUAUACUUUUUCUAUUUGAAGAAUUGAGACCAUUAUUAGGAAUCGAACUUGCUACGGAUGGCAAGUUGGAUGUUGGUAUAGUAGGAGCAGAGGAGGUGGCCGAUUUUGGAAUUGCGGAUUGGCGAUGACUUGCAAAAGAUGAAGAAGGAGUCCUAAGUGAGUUUGGGUUAGAAGUCGUAGCCAUGCUAACCCGAGAACGCACAUUCAUGGAUGAAGACCUUGGGAACAUGGGAAGGCCUAGAAGGUACAUAUGAAGAUGCGGCUCUUCUUGCAGGUCGGACCUUUGGAUCUUUAGACCUUAAUAACCUUUGCUGCUGUUGUUUUUGAAGAGCUAUAGCUUCCUCUUUUUGCCUUCGUUCUUGUUCAAGUCGUUCUUGUUCUUGUUGUAAUUCGAUCUUUCUCUGCUCUUCGGCUUGUAUUUGAAGCAUUUUUUGAUGUUGCAAUCUUUCUAAUUCUUCAUUAUCAAAAGACAAACCUUUCCAGUCGCUAUUUAGUAUUAGAUUCUGAGUAUGCUCCGUUUGGCUUAGAACCGAUGACCAUAAUUGUAUUAGACGAUUCGAGUUGUUAAUGGAGGUUUCGAAUGACUUUAUUUUU